UACGGAUGGGGCGAGCGUUGUUCGGAAUUAUUGGGCGUAAAGGGAGCGUAGGUGGCUCGGUAAGUGGGACUUUUCAACACUCAGCUCAACUGGGUGAGCGGUUCCAAACUGCCGGGCUUGAGUCCGCUAGAGGAUACUGGAAUUCCGGGUGUAGGGGUGAAAUCUAUAGAGAUCCGGAGGAACACCGAUGGCGAAGGCAGGUAUCUGGGGCUGGACUGACACUGAGGCUCGAAAGCUAGGGUAGCAAACGGG
rnacentral:misc_RNA from 1 species